rnacentral:rRNA from 1 species
AAGAUGCUAAUACCGGAUAACAACAGAUGAUGCCUAUCAACUGUUUAAAAGAUGGUUCUGCUAUCACUCUUGGAUGGACCUGCGGUGCAUUAGCUAGUUGGUAGGGUAACGGCCUACCAAGGCGAUGAUGCAUAGCCGAGUUGAGAGACUGAUCGGCCACAUUGGGACUGAGACACGGCCCAAACUCCUACGGGAGGCAGCAGUC